GUGAAUUUUUUCAAUUUUUUUGUAUGUGCAAAUCCGUUUUAGAACUAGGAAUUGGUUUUUUGGUUUACUGCCUGGUGAUCUUAAUUUUGACCUAAUUGCUAGGUGCCAUGCCAGUUUAUACCUGAUGUUUUCCAUCAUUGGACAUUUCGGGUUAUUUACAUUUAAUUGCCUCUUCAAAACUGCCGUUAUAGGCAAAAUUAUACAAGUUACACGCUGUGUCUGUCUACCUUCUCUUGGUGAUGAAAAGAUCUAGACGCCCCCCUUUUUGGCUCUAUGAGUCUCAUUGAAAACCCAACUUUUAUCAGCAAAAAUCAAAAUUAAUCGUUCAACAUUCACAACAGAACUAAAUCCCUCUUGGAAGCUGCAGAACUGCAGUAGGGAUGAUAUUUUUGAUGAAGCACUCAAAAUCAAAUGACCUUCAGUUUUCCCUAGUAUCAAACACUUUUGCAAAAGAAAAGAAUAAUUCGAGUCUGACUAUCGAUGUUCGUGACCUUAUUGAGGUUUGAUGUGGAUGAUCGUGAUGCAUAAGCAUGUAAAAAUGUUCUCCAGCAAAAUGGUGAUCUCUAUACCUAUCACUCCUUCCCAGGUAUUACAAUUUCAACAUUGUCCAACCAAUUUAGUUUUACUCAUUUGGGUUAUAUUAAUUUACUUUCCAGGGUUCGAGUUAUUUGGGUGCUUAUUGUUUUUCUUGAUAAAACUAUCUAACAUUGAUAUUUCAGACCAUUGUUUUUCUUUGAGGAACUUAGACAUAACUACCAACAUGUGCAGGAUCAUCUUCACUCCAAGGGUGUCAUCAAGAAACAGUACCAUAGGUAUUCAGGUUUGCGGAAAUGAAAGGAGAAAAAAGGACGUAGUUGAAGUUGAAUGCAACUUCAGCGGAGGGAACUGAAAGAGAACUCAUAUGAAGGGUAUGUUCUGCAAUUCACUUAAUACCUUCAGUCUAUAGAAGGAUUUUUGGCGUUCAGAAAUAUGGAGAUCGCCCCGGUGGAGAAAACUUUAAAAUGGUCUGUUAGAGGAAUUAAGUCAACGUGUUGUCAGAAUUGGGAGCAAUCUACUGGGUGGUACUAAAUAGUCCUCCAAUACUAACAACUUCCAAUAUAGAGAAGCAACUAAACUCAAUCUAGCUUCUUCAGACUCAUUAAUUAAAUUGCGCAAAUCUACCCCUGCAUUUGAUAUAAAGAUUACAUUUGACGUCCAGCACUCUUUUCAAUUAUUCCAUACACCGUAUGAGUUGAAGUUUGCAUCGUAGCAUCACAGUUUACUGGGGAUGGUGGUGGGCAUUGCUCAGGUUAUGGGUAAUGAUAUUGAAGCCAACAUCGAUAGCUAGAUACGAUAAACAAAACAUUGCCAAGGUUGAAGAAGGCCACUAUUAUUUCCUUAACCUCUUUUGACACCCUUGCAAAGGUCCUCAAGGAUUAUCUCGUAGCGCUGGCUCCAUUUAACAUGAAGAUUCGGCCCCACGGAGCUUCACGGCGUCAAAGUUUUAAAGUUCACCUCUGCGUGCUCAUCCCCUAUUACUGAAACAGUGAAGCCAAAAAUCAUUUUAAGUAUUUGUGAUGUUAUCUUUUAGCUGUAGCUGUGUUCGUACUUUAUGGUGAUGCAUGUUUGAAAGUUGGGUUAUUGCACCACAUUUGAUAGGUUAUAUUUUCAACCAAAAGAUACUGCAUUUCUAUCAUUGAUAAAAUUGUGGAUUUGUUUAGUACC